rnacentral:ncRNA from 2 species
CCGCACGCGUCGGGAGAGCGCGCUGGCCGCAUUGUUUUUCGCAGGCCGCGCCGCCGAAGGGGCACACCCGCAAACUCUCAGGCAAAAGGACCGACCGCGUCGAA